rnacentral:rRNA from 1 species
GACGAACGCUGGCGGCGUGCCUAAUACAUGCAAGUCGAACGAGAGCGCCCGGUGCUUGCACUGGUCAAUCUAGUGGCGAACGGGUGAGUAACACGUGGGUAACCUGCCCAUCAGAGGGGGAUAACAUCCGGAAACGGAUGCUAAAACCGCAUAGGUCUUCGAACCGCAUGGUUUGAAGAGGAAAAGAGGCGCAAGCUUCUGCUGAUGGAUGGACCCGCGGUGCAUUAGCUAGUUGGUGAGGUAACGGCUCACCAAGGCCGUGAUGCAUAGCCGACCUGAGAGGGUGAUCGGCCACAUUGGGACUGAGACACGGCCCAAACUCCUACGGGAGGCAGCAGUAGGGAAUCUUCCGCAAUGGACGCAAGUCUGACGGAGCAACGCCGCGUGAGUGAAGAAGGUCUUCGGAUCGUAAAACUCUGUUGUUAGAGAAGAACAAGUGCUAGAGUAACUGUUAGCGCCUUGACGGUAUCUAACCAGAAAGCCACGGCUAACUACGUG